AACGGGUGAGUAACACGUGGGUAACCUGCCCAUCAGAAGGGGAUAACACUUGGAAACAGGUGCUAAUACCGUAUAACAAUCGAAACCGCAUGGUUUUGAUUUGAAAGGCGCUUUCGGGUGUCGCUGAUGGAUGGACCCGCGGUGCAUUAGCUAGUUGGUGAGGUAACGGCUCACCAAGGCCACGAUGCAUAGCCGACCUGAGAGGGUGAUCGGCCACAUUGGGACUGAGACACGGCCCAAACUCCUACGGGAGGCAGCAGUAGGGAAUCUUCGGCAAUGGACGAAAGUCUGACCGAGCAACGCCGCGUGAGUGAAGAAGGUUUUCGGAUCGUAAAACUCUGUUGUUAGAGAAGAACAAGGAUGAGAGUAACUGUUCAUCCCUUGACGGUAUCUAACCAGAAAGCCACGGCUAACUACGUGCCAGCAGCCGCGGUAAUACGUAGGUGGCAAGCGUUGUCCGGAUUUAUUGGGCGUAAAGCGAGCGCAGGCGGUUUCUUAAGUCUGAUGUGAAAGCCCCCGGCUCAACCGGGGAGGGUCAUUGGAAACUGGGAGACUUGAGUGCAGAAGAGGAGAGUGGAAUUCCAUGUGUAGCGGUGAAAUGCGUAGAUAUAUGGAGGAACACCAGUGGCGAAGGCGGCUCUCUGGUCUGUAACUGACGCUGAGGCUCGAAAGCGUGGGGAGCAAACAGGAUUAGAUACCCUGGUAGUCCACGCCGUAAACGAUGAGUGCUAAGUGUUGGAGGGUUUCCGCCCUUCAGUGCUGCAGCUAACGCAUUAAGCACUCCGCCUGGGGAGUACGACCGCAAGGUUGAAACUCAAAGGAAUU
rnacentral:rRNA from 2 species